rnacentral:rRNA from 1 species
GACGAACGCUGGCGGCGUGCUUAACACAUGCAAGUCGAACGGAAAGGCCCUGCUUUUGUGGGGUGCUCGAGUGGCGAACGGGUGAGUAACACGUGAGUAACCUGCCCUUGACUUUGGGAUAACUUCAGGAAACUGGGGCUAAUACCGGAUAGGAGCUCCUGCUGCAUGGUGGGGGUUGGAAAGUUUCGGCGGUUGGGGAUGGACUCGCGGCUUAUCAGCUUGUUGGUGGGGUAGUGGCUUACCAAGGCUUUGACGGGUAGCCGGCCUGAGAGGGUGACCGGCCACAGUGGGACUGAGAUACGGCCCAGACUCCUACGGGAGGCAGCAGUGGGGAAUAUUGCACAAUGGGCGGAAGCCUGAUGCAGCAACGCCGCGUGCGGGAUGACGGCCUUCGGGUGGUAAACCGCUUUCGCCUGUGACGAAGCGUGAGGGACGGUAAUGGGUAAAGAAACACCGGCUAACUACGU